AUUUAAGUAGUUUAUCUAGAAUAAUAAUUUGUGGUGUUAUAGGAAUAAAUUUUUAUCUUAAAUU
rnacentral:tRNA from 1 species